rfam:Gossypium raimondii Chr13_contig_1355, whole genome shotgun sequence.
UGUUAAAAUUUGCAUUCAUUUUUACUGUUAAAAACUGACAAAACUGAUAAAAUGACUAGAUAGUUGCACAUGGCAUGCCAAACAUACCUCAUUUUAACAUACAAUGAUCAGUUUUUAACCAUAGAAAUAAAUAAAAAUUUUAACA